rnacentral:rRNA from 1 species
UCCAGACUCCUACGGGAGGCAGCAGUCGGGAAUAUUGCGCAAUGGAGGGAACUCUGACGCAGUGACGCCGCGUAUAGGAAGAAGGUUUUCGGAUUGUAAACUAUUGUCGUUAGGGAAGAUACAAGACAGUACCUAAGGAGGAAGCCCCGGCUAACUCCGUGCCAGCAGCCGCGGUAAUACGGAGGAUGCGAGCGUUAUCCGGAUUUAUUGGGUUUAAAGGGUGCGUAGGCGGAAUGCCAAGUCAGCGGUAAAAUCGCGGGGCUAAACCUCGCUCCGCCGUUGAAACUGGCGUUCUUGAGUGGGCGAGAAGUAUGCGGAAUGCGUGGUGUAGCGGUGAAAUGCAUAGAUAUCACGCAGAACUCCGAUUGCGAAGGCAGCAUACCGGCGCCCAACUGACGCUGAAGCACGAAAGCGUGGGUAUCGAACAGGAUUAGAUACCCCUGUAA